UGGGGAAUAUUGCGCAAUGGCCGCAAGGCUGACGCAGCGACGCCGCGUGUGGGAGGAAGCCUUUCGGGGUGUAAACCACUGUCAGGGGGGAAGAACAUGCACAGGUCGAACAGGCCUGGGUGUUGACGGUACCCCCAAAGGAAGCGCCGGCUAACUCCGUGCCAGCAGCCGCGGUAAGACGGAGGGCGCGAGCGUUGUUCGGAAUUACUGGGCGUAAAGCGCGGGCAGGCGGUCCGUUAAGUCCCCUGUGAAAUCCCGGGGCUCAACUCCGGAGUUGCAGGGGAUACUGGCGGACUGGAGACCGGUAGAGGCAAGCGGAAUUCCUGGUGUAGCGGUGGAAUGCGUAGAUAUCAGGAAGAACACCUGUGGCGAAGGCGGCUUGCUGGGCCGGUUCUGACGCUGAACCGCGAAAGCGUGGGGAGCAAACAGGAUUAGAUACCCCCGUAGUCC
rnacentral:rRNA from 1 species